rnacentral:rRNA from 1 species
UGGGGAAUCUUGCACAAUGGGCGAAAGCCUGAUGCAGCGACGCCGCGUGCGGGAUGAAGGCCUUCGGGUUGUAAACCGCUUUCAGCAGGGACGAGGCCGCAAGGUGACGGUACCUGCAGAAGAAGCCCCGGCUAACUACGUGCCAGCAGCCGCGGUAAUACGUAGGGGGCAAGCGUUAUCCGGAUUCAUUGGGCGUAAAGCGCGCGUAGGCGGUUUGUUAGGUCAGGAGUUAAAUCUGGGGGCUCAACCCCUAUCCGCUCCUGAUACCGGCAGGCUUGAGUCUGGUAGGGGAAGGCGGAAUUCCAAGUGUAGCGGUGAAAUGCGCAGAUAUCGGGAAGAACACCGAUGGCGAAGGCAGCCUGCUGGGCCGGCACUGACGCUGAGGCGCGAAAGCUAGGGGAGCGAACAGG